ensembl:misc_RNA Metazoa_SRP Metazoan signal recognition particle RNA
GCUGGGCAUGGUGGUGCAUGCCUGUAAUCCCAGCCACUUGGGAGGCUGAGGCAGGAGAAUCGCUUGAACCCAGGAGGCGGAGGUUGCAGUGAGCUGAGAUUGUGCCACUGCACUCCAGCCUGGGUGACAGAGUGAGACUCUGCCUCAA